rnacentral:rRNA from 1 species
UACGUAGGGAGCAAGCGUUGUCCGGAAUCAUUGGGCGUAAAGCGCGUGUAGGCGGCUCGGUAAGUCCGCUCUGAAAGCCCGGGGCUCAACCCCGGGAGGCGGGCGGAUACUGUCGGGCUAGAGUCCGGAAGAGGCGAGUGGAAUUCCUGGUGUAGCGGUGAAAUGCGCAGAUAUCAGGAGGAACACCAAUGGCGAAGGCAGCUCGCUGGGACGGUACUGACGCUGAGACGCGAAAGCGUGGGGAGCAAACAGG